rnacentral:sRNA from 1 species
UCGACGAGUUGCGGGCUGUUGAAGUGGACGUGAAUAUCGAGCGCACCGGCCGUCGCGAUCAGCCCGUCAGCCGGAAUGGUAUCGGUGCUCGCGCCGAUGACCAUAUCCACGUCGUCCAUCGUAUCGGGAUUGCCGGCCUUGCCGACGCCGACGAUCUCGCCGUUUCGAACGCCAAUGUCACCCUUUCGUACGCCGAGGACGGGGUCAAUGAUGACGACGUUCGUAAACACCCAGUCGAGGGUGCCCUCGGCCUGUGUCGUGCCCGA